rnacentral:rRNA from 1 species
GACGAACGCUGGCGGCGUGCUUAACACAUGCAAGUCGAACGGAAAGGCCCUGCUUUUGUGGGGUGCUCGAGUGGCGAACGGGUGAGUAACACGUGAGUAACCUGCCCUUGACUUUGGGAUAACUUCAGGAAACUGGGGCUAAUACCGGAUAGGAGCUCCUGCUGCAUGGUGGGGGUUGGAAAGUUUCGGCGGUUGGGGAUGGACUCGCGGCUUAUCAGCUUGUUGGUGGGGUAGUGGCUUACCAAGGCUUUGACGGGUAGCCGGCCUGAGAGGGUGACCGGCCACAUUGGGCCUGCGAUACGGCCCAGACUCCUACGGGAGGCAGCAGUGGGGAAUAUUGCACAAUGGGCGGAAGCCUGAUGCAGCAACGCCGCGUGCGGGAUGACGGCCUUCGGGUUGUAAACCGCUUUCGCCUGUGACGAAGCGUGAGUGACGGUAAUGGGUAAAGAAGCACCGGCUAACUACGUG